UGCUCAGCAACUCCUAUCCCUACCUCCACGCGGUACCGGCCUAAAACUAUGAGCAACCUUAGGGAAGAUCGGGUAACCAACCCGGUGGGAACUUUGGUCGUAGGCUGACAGGGAAGG
rfam:Aedes albopictus isolate Foshan contig38114, whole genome shotgun sequence.